CAGAGCCUCCCGCAAAGCAGCCCAAGGGCUGCGGCCUGAAAACCCAACGCUGGAUAUUGUCUCUUAGGAUUGGAAACCUCAUUGAUGGACUUUCUCCUGAAUCAGAUGCCAGAACGGAUUGGGUAUAAAGAUUUCCCCCUCCCCCAAACGCGAGUGUAGGCCAGGGUCCGAGAACAGACUAGUUGCAGGCUUGUAACCCUUCGUUUCCGGGAAGAUUUUCCUUUCCAUAUUGGAAACUUCUGGAAACUACAAAACCAAGAGACAAAAAAAGCGACCCUGCUACUUGAAGGAGAGCUCCCUCUCUGGGGAACCAGAUCAGGAUGGAAGCUCUCAGCUCCUGUUCCAGCACCAGUCUGUCUGCCCGCCCCCAUGCUCCCUGCCAUGGUGAUUACGGACCAACCCUCUGAAACUGUGAUCCAGCUACCAGCUGUUCUAAUUCAGAGUGCUUAUCCAAAGAAAAUGAAGUCAUUGUCCCAGGGAGACCCUGCCACACCAUUCAGAAUGACCCAGGUGUGAAACCAGCCUCAGUGCCAGCUGAAGGAGGGAUGGAUGGAAAAAACGUGGAGUGGACAUGGAGUAUUAGUAUUCAGCCAGAAAGAAGAAUGAAACACUGUUAUCUGCAGCAAAAUGGAUGGAACUUGAGAGUGUUGUGUGAGAUGAAAUGAACCAGACAUAGACAGACAAACUUCAUACAUGUUCUGAUGUAGAAGCAAAGAAAAAGCCAACCUGAGCACAGAGAAGUAAUGAGGAGAGAUUAGGAGGGAAGAAAACUGGGUGCUGGUUUCAUUAAUGCAUGAGGUACACAUGUAGAACUGGUACCCCAAAUCCCAUUAAUUUGUGCAAUUAAAAAUAGAUAAAAUGUAAAGUAAUAGCUGCAGGUGGAGGCAGUAACAAGGCAGGUGAGGAGGCAGGUGGGGAAAGGUGAGAAGGUAGGUGGGGGCAAGUAAGGAGGCAGGAGUGGGGCAGGUGAGAAGGCAGAUGGGGCAGGUGAAAAUGCAGGUGGGAACAGAUGAGGAGACAGGUGGGCAGGUGAUAAGGCAGGUGAGGGCAGGUGGGGAGGCAGAUGGGGCAGGAACAGGUGAGUAGGCAGGAGUAGGGCAAGUGAGUAGGCAGGUGGGAACA